rnacentral:rRNA from 1 species
AACGAACCCUGGCGGCAGGCUUAACACAUGCAAGUCGAACGCAUGCCUUCGGGCAUGAGUGGCAGACGGGUGAGUAACGCGUGGGAACCUACCCCUUGGUACGGGAUAGCUCCGGGAAACUGGAGAUAAUACCGUAUGUGUCCUGAGGGACAAAGAUUCAUCGCCAAGGGAUGGGCCCGCGUCGGAUUAGCUAGUUGGUGGGGUAACGGCCUACCAAGGCGACGAUCCGUAGCUGGUCUAAGAGGAUGAUCAGCCACAUUGGGACUGAGACACGGCCCAAACUCCUACGGGAGGCAGCAGUGGGGAAUAUUGGACAAUGGGCGCAAGCCUGAUCCAGCCAUGCCGCGUGAGUGAUGAAGGCCCUAGGGUUGUAAAGCUCUUUCACCGGUGACGAUAAUGACGGUAACCGGAGAAGAAGCCCCGGCUAACUUCGUG